GUCCCUUUAGGACAUCCGAUAAAAUUAGAAUGAAAAAGAGAAGAUUAGUAAGGAUUCAUCGCAAGGAUAACACACAAAUGGAGAAGAAAUAGAAUUAUGUU
rnacentral:snRNA from 1 species